UCUUACUAGAAAGUGGUUCUGUUAUGAUUGCUUGGAUAUGAACUGAUUUGAGCUUCCCAUUAUUUUUCUGUUUGGCCAAUUUCCAGCAGUCUUGGAGGAGCAGCUCAAGAGAAGUAAAUUCUAUUGUAUCAUGGUUGGAAAGGUGCCCACUUCAUACAGUCAUCACGCUUGACUUCAUGUUACCUCUUGAAGUGCUUUAUGAUCACAUAAUUGGGAACAAGGAGGAACUAAAUGCACCUAAGCAGAAAUGGCUGCUGCUCACCAGCUACCUAAUUAUUGUCAGGAAAGCUAAAAAUGUAGAAUGUCUGUCAACUUUCAAAGCAGCACACAUGGAGAGCAGCGGUGGGGAAGAUGGAAAUCGCAGCUGGAGACCUUAGCCUUGAAGGAAGACAGGAAGUCAAGUGUCAUACCUAGAGGGACACAUAUUCUGUGACAAAGUCCUAAGUGAGGUCCAGAAGGGAGCAACCAGUUCUACCAGCGUUUGUGUGUGAGCUGUGGAGAUGGGAGAGGAGACAAUAUGGAGAAUACCUAAAUGACAUGGUGGGCACUUGUCCUAGAACUUGAAAGGCUAAACCUCAAAUAUUUGGGCCUGAUUUCUAUGCACAGUCUCCAUCUACAGGAUUCUUUCUGAAAAUUAUUCCAGGCUAUGACUGCAUGAUCCUGAAAUUCCAAUCUAACUGGCAGGUGCUGACUGGAUGGGCGUCUGAUCCAAGGAUGGGCAAUACACAGGAGAGGAGGAGACGCAAGAUUCAUCUCUCUCCAUCAUGAGAGAAUAAAGCAAGAAAUGAUCAUCAGUGAACAGGAAGAAAGCCUUCAUCAUGAAGGCACCCUGGUCUCAGAUUUUCAGCCUUCAGAAGUAUGAGAAAACCAUGUUUGUUGUUGAAGCCAUCCAGUCUACAAUAGAGUGUUUUAGCAGAACAAAUUGAUUGAGACUUAUCCUAUGUAGAGAAAGUAAAUAUGGAUAUAUUUCAGAAAUGUUUGUAGCUGCCAACAAAGAAUAACCAACUUAAAAUGACUUAAACUCUAUGGGUUCAUUUUCUGACAUGAAAAGAAAUCCAGAGUUGAAUGGCCUUGACUUUAACUUCUAUCAAAUCAAUGUUAUCACUGGGUUAUCUCCCUGUUCUUUCAUCUUCCAGUUUUAGUAAGUUGUCUUUAGUCUUCAAGUAGCUACAAAAUAACUGCUGGUCACAGGUAUAUCCUCAUGCCAGACAUCCAGAAGCAGAAGUAGAUCUUGCCAGGGAUGAAAAACUUUCCUAGAAAUCCUCUGCAAACUCAUGUCUAGUUCCCUUGAGCAGCACUGAAUGGUGAGUCUGUGUCUGAGUCCUCACUAGAAAUCCUUGACAAGUGAAAAUCAAGUAUUUCUCAUGCCUGUGGUGGGUAGGCAGCAAAGACAAUCAGUGAAGAACUAACCACUCAUGCCUCAACUGUCAGACAAUUCUGCUACAUGACUGCUUUGUAGAAGUAGAAAUUUAGAAGCAACAGCUAUUUGCUAAAUCGGUGUAUUAGCAUUCUAAGUUAAAUGAAGAUUGAUGAAUUCGUCUUUGGGUAUGGUGAAAAGAAACUGUUCACUUUAAUCCUUUAGUUUUUUUUUUUUUUUUUUUAAUUUUUUUUUUAUUGGUUGUUCAAAACAUUAUAAAGCUCUUCACAUAUCAUAUUUCAUACAUUAGAUUCAAGUUGGUUAUGAACUCCCAAUUUUACCCCAAAUACAGAUUGCAGAAUCACAUCGGUUACACAUCCACAUUUUUACAUAAUGCCCUAUUAGUAACUGUUGUAUUCUGCUACCUUUCCUAUCCUCUACCAUCCCCCCUCCCUCCCCUCCCAUCUUCUCUCUCUGCCCCAUCCACUGUAAUUCAUAUCUCUCCUUGUUUAUUUUCCCAUUCCCCUCACAACCUCUUAUAUGUAAUUUUGUAUAACAAUGAGGGUCUCCCUCCAUUACCAUGCAAUUUCCCUUUUCUCUCCCUUUCCAUCCCACCUCAUGUAUCUGUUUAAUGUUAAUCUUUUCUUCCUGCUCUUCCUCCCUGCUCUGUUCUUAGUUGCUCUCAUUAUAUCAAAGAAGACAUUUGGUAUUUGUUUUUUAGGGAUUGGCUAGCUUCACUAAGCAUAAUCUGCUCUAGUGCCAUCCAUUUCCCUGCAAAUUCUAUGAUUUUGUCAUUUUUU